rnacentral:tRNA from 1 species
UUAAUUGAAACCAAAAAGAGGUGAAUCACUGUUAAUGAUUUAAAUGAGUUCAACUCCAAUUAAA